AGUGAACGCUGGCGGUAGGCCUAGCACAUGCAAGUCGAACGGCAGCACAGUAAGAGCUUGCUCUUACGGGUGGCGAGUGGCGGACGGGUGAGGAAUACAUCGGAAUCUACUUUUUCGUGGGGGAUAACGUAGGGAAACUUACGCUAAUACCGCAUACGACCUACGGGUGAAAGCAGGGGAUCUUCGGACCUUGCGCGAUUGAAUGAGCCGAUGUCGGAUUAGCUAGUUGGGGGGGUAAAGGCCCACCAAGGCGACGAUCCGUAGCUGGUCUGAGAGGAUGAUCAGCCACACUGGAACUGAGACACGGUCCAGACUCCUACGGGAGGCAGCAGUGGGGAAUAUGGGACAAUGGGCGCAAGCCUGAUCCAGCCAGACCGCGUGGGUGAAGAAGGCCUUCGGGUUGUAAAGCCCUUUUGUUGGGAAAGAAAAGCAGCAGGUUAAUACCCCGCUGUUCUGACGGUACCCAAAGAAUAAGCACCGGCUAACUUCGUG
rnacentral:rRNA from 1 species